AGGCUAGGCUGUUGUUGGUUUUCCUCUGAUUCAAGACUCUGUUUGUUACUUUCCUCAACUCUCUCACUCUCUCAUGUUGAAAUCCCUCAUUUUACUCAUCAAUUUCACUUUCCCGAAUCAAAUCCCUGAAUCAUCACUCAAAAAUGGGGAUUUCGUGAUUAGGGUUCAAACAUAUUCUCAAUGGUUCCGUCGAUCAGGAGUUUAUAUUAUUUCAAUGUUUCUGAUGAGAUCUACGGAGGGUGCUAUUACAAGGGGACACAUGGAGUUGUUGUUAUUGAUAGAGAUUUAUACCCAAUUCCAAUUGAUACUAUGAAAAUAGAGGUGAAGGCAAGUGAGUAAUAGCUUGUGUUAAUCGAGCUUCAUGAUCAAUGAGAUUAGACUGCAAAAAGAAUUAAAGUCAAGGUAUCUCUCAAUAUGCAAAUGAAUUAGCUACCUCUCGUGUAUGGAAUAGAGGACACGGCUCUUACUCUUAAGACGGCUCUGUUAGGUGGCAAUGUCACACAAGAGGUCUAAAGAAGAUUGAUAGUUUCAACCAAUGAAUGAGUUAAGAACUUGGAGAUGUGGAAGAAUUGAAUAAGCAAUCUAUCUUUGAUGCUUAUUGGGAUACAAUUUAAAGCGAAAAUGUGGUUGACUGUACAACUAUUUCUUCCAUUGAUAAGGUUUUUAGCAUAGUUGAUUUGUUCUCAAGCUGAAAUUUGAAGGCUCAAAAUUAAGGGGAUUUUUUUUUAUAUUUUGUGCUUGGUAUCAGUUUUGAUUAUAUUGUU